rnacentral:sRNA from 1 species
ACACACAAAUAGUAAUUGAGCUGCACUCACGGUCUUCCCAUUCAAAAUAUUUUCUUUAUUUCAUCAAGUAAACAAAUCAUUUUUGUUUUGUUUACUUGAUGAAAUAAAGAAAAUAUUUUGAAUGGGAAGACCGUGAGUGCAGCUCAAUUACUAUUUGUGUGGAUAUCGAAUUCCCCUU